AGAGAGUUGGCAGAAUAGAUUUAUUGCGUUUAAUUUGAGAUUAAAUUUGUAAGGGUUUAAGCCCCUUACUCUCUU
rnacentral:tRNA from 1 species